AAUGAUUGACAAGCAUGGAACUCGGCCGAAGCAAAGGACGCGGCAGAAUGAAAAGUAGCAAAGCUAUUCCUGCGGUUGGUGUUUCCUCCGGCUGCUCUCGACGCCAGACUCGCCAACCAGCCAACCAGCACCCUCUCCCGCGUGUCAGGCAUAUCAUCAAUCUUGUUAUGUUUUCUCGCGUACUCGGAUGUGGAUUUAGACUCGAGACUCCGCCAAGAUCUCUGGAAUCGUAGGUGAACGCGCCCAUCGCGAACCGUUUGUCUUCAUUCGACCAAACUGAUCAAAACCUGACUGCUGCUCUCUACCGGCGCGACCCAUCCGCCGGAUGUCGCGAGUGCACCCAUUCCAACAAAAAUUCCACGAGGAACGCUGCAAUUUCUUUUUUGUGAGUGGAUCGAUGAGAGUUUUGAGUUUUUCAGCGAUGUUUUCGUCGUGCUAUCACCUUAGUGCGAUUGUGGUUAUGAGAAAUUGCUCUCCAAGUGGAAAAAGUAUUUUUGGAAUAGUGGUGUAUUUUAUUCUUUUUAUACGCGAAGCGGUGGAAGUAUUGGCUUAACAUGUGUAAAGGUGAGUUAAUGACCUCGAAGUCGAGCCGCUGAUUCUAAUGAAGAAAUUCAUGUCGGACCGUUGAGAGAGGCGCUAGCACGCUCUUGUGAAACGAGAGAGUUCUUCUGUCGGCUAAGGACACUUUGAUGAUGUUUGCGUAUUAACUAAUGAUCCUCUCCACCUAUGUGCAUUCCCUGAUGAAGGAAAUUAUGGUUGAAAUUGAUGCGCGCGCCGCUGUUAACGAGCCGCGUGCGUCGCGUGUUGCCAUCUUUGGUUUAGGUCGACGUUACAUACGUUCCGAGUUAUUAUUCAAGUAAUUUGAAUUUCUUUGGCGAUGAUUUAAAUCUGAAUUGGCGAAGAUUAAUAAAAGAGAAGAAUAAAGGUUAAUAAAAUUUGAAAAGUAAUAUGCAACAGAUUAAGAUCCGAGGAAUAAGAAAAAAUUAUAUAAUUCCUCGAGAAUGACGCUAAGGAAUAAAUAAGUUGCAGGAAGUUAACCGCCAUUAUAAACAUUUCCUCGUUAAUCAUAACGACCGGUGCAUUGAAACAUGCUUCAUCGACCUUUGAGCAGGUUUUCUAUUAGUCGUGCUCGAGUUUUUCCACGGCUAGCAAUUCGCUCUGAAUUGCAGAUUUUCCAUUUUCUUAAUUGCAACGCGCGCUGUCACCCCUUUUUUCUUCCUAUCGUCCAGGCAAUCUGUAAUGUGUCAGGAUUACAUACCGCGAUUAGGUACUCACAUAUCGCAAAUACAUUAAUACACUUUAUCGAUGGCUUACCUUGAUCAUUUUUUUACAAUGCAAACGGUUUAAACAAGAUUUAUUUAAAAUAUAGUCGCAUCCCGUCAGCGCAACGUUAAGUAUGUGAAUUAAUCAUCAUAAAUUAUUGUUUUAUAAGAAUAAAUUAAUUUUUCUGUAGGUUUAAGUAAAAGCGUAAAUAACUUUGAUCUUCACCUUACUUGAUUGAGAUACGAUUACCUGAUCACGAGAUACUAAAAGUCAUCUAACUUACUACAAUCUUCUUAAUAGUUAUCGAAUUGCGAAUUUUAUAAGUGGGCUGUGGAUUUUUAUGCAAAUUCAUAUUUUUAUGAACACAACUGAAAAAUAGAAUCUACAUCCUUACUCUGAAUAAUUCAUAUAUUUUUAUAAUUCUUGAAUUUCGAUAAAUACACAGCCAAUUUAUAAAAAUACUAUUUUACAAGGAUAUUUGAUUGUAAUCAUAAGUAGCAAAAAUGUAAGAAACUUCCAUUAUCAUUAUGUCGUUCUCGAUUGAAACAAGGUCAAUCAGGAAUAUUAUUGUACAAAUAGAAUUAUUAAUCAGAAAUAUAAAAAAAUUAUUGAGCUUGUAACUUGAUCUUCAGCGAUGAUCCGCCACGCAAUGUGUUACAUUUGAUCUAAUUUUACAAUUCCGCUGUUCAGCUCGUUUACACGUUAUCGAUGGUAUCACAAACAUUGACUAACAUUAGAAAUAAAAACGAGUCGAGUUGCUCAAUAAUAUCUACUCUCUAACAAGUUUCCAUUCCAUCGCAUUCCAAGUACAAUUUCACACAAAGGAAAUCACUGGUCAUUUAGAAAAAUGUGCAGCGCGUUUGCCGCCAUGAAACAUUCUUUUUCCAUCUGAAUCGUUACGAAAUCUUUGGAUUUUUUCCCCCUUUACCUUCGCUCGGUUGUUACGAGCUCGCGCGCCUAUGGAUAGUGGGCAGGCUACUCGACCGGUAAUUACGGCCGUGUAUGCACUUCAUUAGCACUUACGAACGGUUGCGUAACGACCGGCAUGUCAUUUUAAUGUGAGCACGAUCAAAGAUUAAUGGACGCGUCGCAGCCGUUACCGAAGGAUGCAAGAAAACGCGCGCGCGAACGCUACGGCUUCUCUUAUGGUCGACCGUGAAUAAAAGGAUAGGAUCUCGAAUUGAAAAAGAUGAAACGACGGGCCGACUCUUACGCCGUGAACGAAUCAUUUUCUUUGUCGCUCUUCUGGAAAACGCAAUCGGCUUAAAUUCGACGUUUUUGUCGGAUUGAAUCUGGACAACGAGGAUUCUUUAGACAUUUAAAAAUAUCAGAUAAAUUGCAUAGUUGUGUGGACUAUGUAUGUAAUGGAUGAACAUUUAUAGAAUCGCUUACUUAAUAUUAUUACAGAUUCUUUGAAAAUAUGCCUCUCUGUAUUCGGUAUUCUUUAUCUAUCUAGAAGCUGUAAUGCAUCUGAAUUCUCAAGAAAGUACAUAUUUCAACCUCAAUUUAAGAAUACUAUAAUCUUCAUUGUACAGACAAUUAAUAUACGAAUAAUAGAUUCAAUUCAUCCUUAUUAUUCUCCUAUUACAAAACGCAUAUUCAAAGCCUAAUUUUAGCUGAAUCUUUGUUAUACAAAUAGUUAUCAUUGAACAAAUAAAAAAUGAAUUCCCAACCGACUUCUCUAGAUCUUCAGCAUUCUUUGCAACAUUACACAAUUACCGAAUUAAUUGUAGAAAGUAAGAAGCGUUUAACAGACUAACAAACCACGAAAAUAGCGAACUUUCUAAAUGCAUCGAAACAUACAAUAUUUCAUUCAUAUUAAAAAUAAUCGACUCCCACAAACUUUGAACCCGCUUGUACGACCGUUGGUACAAGAAUGUGCACGCUAUAAUGCAAUGUGUGCAUCGUGGCGUCAAGUCGGGUCGCCAAUUGUAGAGCGCGGUUCAUCGUCUACUAGCCUUUCUCUCUCAGUGUAUUGUGUGUAGUCGUGGAAUCGCGACGAGUUGCUAUUAAUAACGGUCAUUAAUUCUUGAUCGCCUCUAACAGAUUUUUUUUUUACAUGGUAGAAUCAGUUCGCAUAGUUGAAGAACGCGUGGUUGAAAAACGAUCGCGAGCAACGAACAUGAUUAACGCACGUGCCGCUUUUAACUUCUUCGUUGGCCCAGUAUGUGAUCGAAGGUGUUCAACUGUCGUCUGUUGCAGUUCAGCUCGUUCACCUGAAAAUAUUUUGAGAUCAGUAUGCUGAAAUUUAUCAUUGAAUUUAACAAACUUAAAAGCAUAGUGUCUACAAGCAGUUUUUAUCUAAUACAUGCGUUUCGAUACGAAUUAUUCUGUUGCUGUUCCAAGAAGCGAGAUGCCUCUGAAAGGAUUCGAUGAACAGUUAAAAACUGGCGCUCUCACUAGCCAGGAUCGAGAGUUGAAGCGCGAAGUCACUCGAGAAUAGACCUGUUAUGUCAAGUCACCGUUACAACGAACAGGGAAGCAUCUAUUUCUGCUAAACGUAUCGCGAAACGAAUAUUCUCACAAAGGAAACCUGGCUCGAUUGCAAUUUUCAGAAAAAUUAUCAAUCAAAGCAAAAAAAAAAACUAAACGAUAUUUAAUAAAAAAAUUUCUAACGGGAAGCUAACUUUAGCAUUUCAAAGGAUUUCGAUUUCUAAUCCAAGCAAAUGUUUACAAUUCUACAUUCAAAAAUUCUAUGUUUCACCUAAAAAUUCAUCAUACUUUCUUUCAAACUAACCUAAACUAAAACUACAACCCUUGAAUGCGCCGCAAAGUUGUAACCCUAAGUUCAGCAAACAACGCUCAACAGUUAGUUAACAAAGAGUAAUAUUAUUAUUUCCAUGUUCUCGAAGAAACUUUCUAAACAUAGAUCGAGUCGAUGCAUUCAAAGUAAGCCACGAAUCAUCGAAGCCAGAAACGUAAUGGCGGCGCCGGUUCGUUCUCUACUCGAAGGUUUCGAUACGCCGUUAAAGAUAAAUCCUGUUAUGUCACUUGGCACACUUCUCGGACGUAUAUCAUAGCAGGUUAUCUUAGCGACAAUAAUCAUAUUACACCUGCACUACCGAUAGUGAUUGAUGCUCGUCCCUGAGUUCGAAAGCACCUGAGCGUUAACGGCUCGCGGAUGACACAGCUGAAUGCAGGCAAGGCCGUGUUCUCCUUCGUCCUCUUUCUCCUCCCAUUCCUUAGCGGUACAGCUCCUUUUAUUUGAGCACGCGUGUCGAUGUACCUUGCGUUUCCAGGUUACUUGGUCAUCGCUGUUGUGUUUACCUGAAAAUCAACGCGGGAACCUCGUUAGAUUCGUUGUCUCUUCGUCCAACUUCGUUAUACGGAUAACAACAAAAUGUGGAUUGAUCUUUUAAAUGGAUUUUGUUAUUAGAAUGUUGGUAAUGAAAGGAAGAGGAGACAGAGGUAUAAGAAGACCGAGUUCGGGAAGCGUUUUAGGACAAAUUCACCAAAGUACGCUGCAUUGCAAAUACAUGCAUAUCAAGAGAACACUUUGAAGGUGUAUUUAAUGUGUAAUUUAAGAAAUAUUUAAGAGAUUGAAAAUGUUAAUGUUGUGAGUAAACUGCGUUUAUGACAGAUUUAAGGAUGCAAAAAUAUAUGUUAAUUAGAAGAGUUAUUCCAUUCGAAUUGUACAAAUAUAGAAGAUUAAUUUGCAGGAUUAGGUGUGUUUCGUAGAUUGUCAAAAUAUUUAACCUAACGAGGUUAUUUCGCCUGGAAAAUCGAAAUCGAUAGGUUUGCGAGAUUCUUCGAGGGUUAGUCCUCUCAAAACCUAGUCUUCCCUUUACGAAUUGGGAUUAACUGGAAUUAAGGCAGGUCGAGUCAAAAACCUGGCGUUAAAGUAGACGUUUUAUUUGUAUG